GCGUCAGUAGGUUGGUCGUGCCACCGGUACGUACUGGUCUCACUGAUUCCUCCUUCCUGAAGAACCGUAAUGCCAUUAAUUUGGUGUUGCGGGGAAACAGGACUGUUACUUUGAAAAAAUUAGAGUGUUUAAAGCAAGCUAACGCUUGAAUACAUUAGCAUGGAAUAAUGAAAUAGGACGAUCGAUCCUAUUUUGUUGGUUUCUAGGAUUGACGUA
rnacentral:rRNA from 1 species